rnacentral:rRNA from 2 species
UUGGAGGGCAAGUCUGGUGCCAGCAGCCGCGGUAAUUCCAGCUCCAAUAGCGUAUAUUAAAGUUGUUGCAGUUAAAAAGCUCGUAGUUGAAUUUCGGGAUCAAUUUGUCGGUCGUGCCUCGGUACGUACUGGCAUUAUUGGUUUCUACCUUCUGAAGAACCUUGAUGUCAUUAAUUUGGUGUCUUGGGGAAUCAGGACUGUUACUUUGAAAAAAUUAGAGUGUUUAAAGCAGGCAUACGCUUGAAUACAUUAGCAUGGAAUAAUGAAAUAGGACGUUUGAUUCUAUUUUGUUGGUUUCUAGGAUCGACGUAAUGAUUAAUAGGGAUAGUUGGGGGCAUUGGUAUUCAAUUGUCAGAGGUGAAAUUCUUGGAUUUAUUGAAGACUAACUACUGCGAAAGCAUUUGCCAAGGAUGUUUUCAUUAAUCAUGAACGAAAGUUAGGGGAUCGAAGACGAUCAGAUACCGUCGUAGUCUUAACCAUAAACUAUGCCGACUAGGGAUCGGAUGAUGUUAAUUUUUUAAUGACUCAUUCGGCGCCUUACGGGAAAC